UACGAAGGGUGCAAACGUUGCUCGGAAUUAUUGGGCGUAAAGCGCACAUAGGCGGCUUGGCAAGUCGGAUGUGAAAUCCCUCGGCUCAACCAAGGAAGUGCAUCCGAAACUGCCGAGCUUGAGUACUUAAGAGGAUCGCGGAAUUCCCGGUGUAGAGGUGAAAUUCGUAGAUAUCGGGAGGAACACCAGUGGCGAAGGCGGCGAUCUGGGAAGAUACUGACGCUGAGGUGCGAAAGCUAGGGGAGCAAACGGG
rnacentral:rRNA from 1 species